GCAAUUCUUUGAAGCGGUUCAUUUCCAUUUCCUUCUUGUACCACUCAAUCAAGAUUGUACCACAACCCUAGCCGCCCUCUAUCACGACUAUUGAAGUGAACGCCGAACCCAUCUUCAUGACAUACAGGUAUUUUUCAUCUUCAUGAAUAUGUUAACUUGUAGUUAUAUUACAGAGAUUUUGGUAGAGAUGCUUUAUCCGUUUUAACAUCAUUGAAAAUUGAGCUACGAGCCAAGAAACUUCAAUUAUAAAAAAAUUACGGUAUAAUUUUUUCAUAAUAAAUCAUUACAGGCCAGUGAUUGUAGAUAUAUGUAGAGUAAAAAAUGCACCUGCGGAUAGGAAACGGUAAAUAUCAAAUGGAAAUGCAUAUAAUUAAAAAUAGCUAAUCACUAUAAAGAAAUUUGGUUGGAUUAGCUGAACUUGUAGUUAUAUUACAGAUAUUUAGGUAGGGAUUUUUCUCGAUUAUGUUAGUGGUAAUGUUAGCUGAACUUCUUUUCGUCGUCCACAGCCAUGGCAUAAUCAUCAGAGUUCAAAACAAAUGUCCCUACCUACACAACCUUACCUGUCGCCUUGCCCGUCGGAGGCCGCCUCCUUGACAGUGGCCAAACAUAGACAAUUGGCUACCCUUCAAAGAAGUCAGCCAAAAUCUGGGCCCUGUGCAAAUGCUGAGGAAUUGAUAGGGACAGAAACACUUGCAUUCUCAAACAGCCGGUUAUAUUGUGAUGCUGAUUACAUACAUUUCAAAUUUGGGAUGUGAAUGCCCUCCUUUUUUCGCUAAAGAAUGUUGUCUCUAUUACAAAUUUGAGAUGAUUAGGCCUUGUGAUGUUAGUUUUACCAAUUGACAUGUAAGAUAUGUUGCUUGGGGCUGAAAAUGUUCCAACUGUUAAGUGAUCUG
rnacentral:lncRNA from 1 species